rnacentral:rRNA from 1 species
AGUCGAACGCUUCUUUUUCCACCGGAGCUUGCUCCACCGGAAAAAGAGGAGUGGCGAACGGGUGAGUAACACGUGGGUAACCUGCCCAUCAGAAGGGGAUAACACUUGGAAACAGGUGCUAAUACCGUAUAACAAUCGAAACCGCAUGGUUUUGAUUUGAAAGGCGCUUUCGGGUGUCGCUGAUGGAUGGACCCGCGGUGCAUUAGCUAGUUGGUGAGGUAACGGCUCACCAAGGCCACGAUGCAUAGCCGACCUGAGAGGGUGAUCGGCCACAUUGGGACUGAGACACGGCCCAAACUCCUACGGGAGGCAGCAGUAGGGAAUCUUCGGCAAUGGACGAAAGUCUGACCGAGCAACGCCGCGUGAGUGAAGAAGGUUUUCGGAUCGUAAAACUCUGUUGUUAGAGAAGAACAAGGAUGAGAGUAACUGUUCAUCCCUUGACGGUAUCUAACCAGAAAGCCACGGCUAACUACGUGCCAGCAGCCGCGGUAAUACGUAGGUGGCAAGCGUUGUCCGGAUUUAUUGGGCGUAAAGCGAGCGCACGCGGUUUCUUAAGUCUGAUGUGAAAGCCCCCGGCUCAGCCGGGGAGGGUCAUUGUAAACUGGGAGACUUGAGUGCAGAACAGGAGAGUGGAAUUCCAUGUGUAGCGCUGAAAUGCGUAGAUAUAUGUAGGAACACCCCUGGCGAAUGCGGCUCUCUGGUCUGUAACUGACGCUCAGGCUCGAAAGCGUGCUGAGCAGACAGGAUUAGAUACUCUGCUAGUCCACUCCGUAAACGAUCAGUGCUCACUUUUUGCACGAUUUCUUCCCUUCACUGCUGCCCCUCACGCAUUAAACACUCCGCCUGGGGAGUACUACCCCAAGG